UUUCCGCUUUCUUGGUGCGUGCGCGCGUGUCUGUGUUGGUGGAGCAGGGGGAGAAACUUGCAGCGCGUCCACGCCGGCCGCAAUCACGAAAAUAAAAUCCACUCAAAAGGAAUCUGGCGGAGCACGGGAAGGCCAACGUCUCCAGCGACACCGGAGGAAGCGGCUCGGUAAUUGCAGGUGGUUAGCAGCUCUUCAGCAGCUUUACUCCCCCGUCACGCCGUCCUCGCGUGCUGGGCGGGACGCCGUUCUUACGUUAGGUAAGAGGUGACUCAGAUCUGCCGACAGCAGGGGAGUCGACUGGUCCUGUUGAUGUAAAGCAACAAAGAAACGUUACGAAAUGAUGGCAAAUAAUUAGUGUUCAGCCCAGUCACAAUAAGAAAGAGGGUGCCCCCAAAAUCCACUUCUACAAUUGAAAACAUCUGUCCAGAGGCAGCAGCUCGGCCUCUCAAGUGCUCAGUUUGUGCCGGAGCCUCUUUUUAAUUAGAAGGCCGCUCGUCGCUGGCGUUCAGAGGUUGUGAAUGCACGACAGAGGAGCCGUGGCGUCCCAGAUCACAUCAAACCGGGCUCCUCUCCCCGGGCAGCGGCUCCACGGCGGCUCCGGAGACCCACGGACAAUUAAAGGCCGAGAGGCGAAGGCUCCCGCGUGCGUUCCGCGAACAUGCAAAAUGAAUUUAGUUCACAUUUGCCACGAGCGAGAGAGAGAGAGCAAGAGAGAGAGAGAAAACCUCUUUUCUGAUCUCUGUCGGUCCAACGAGGAAACUAGCACACAGACAAAAAGUAUUGAUUUUUUGAUGUUGUUCUUGUUAGCUGAAAUGUGCGCGGAGGCUUCUACAAAUGACCACUUGUUCGACCGAGACUCUUACAAGAACAAGACGAACGCGUCACGUCUUCCUGCAGAAAGACAACGGAAUAAAAACUGUGUUUAGUCCCACCAGCACGUCUCAAGUUGGACCAGCUAUGUGUGUGUAUUUCAUUCUUUUUCAUUCGUAUUUGUUCUCAAAUGUUUGGGUGCACAAAUCAACAUUUUAAAUGAAUAAUAAAUGCGCUCCGCUGAUGAAGAUGAUACCGCGGAUGUUCAAAUGAAUACAAGUAAGUCCGCUGCUACUUCAAAAGGCGAGAAUGCACUAAAUUAUGUUUGAUGACGACCUCCUCUUAAUACAUGUGAAUGCAUAACCUGCCCCGUAGUAAAUCACAAUUAAACAGAUGUCAUUAGACAUUCACAGUUA